UGUUUGAACUCCAGCUGGUUCCGAAUGUUUCUGGCCAAUCGUAGUGUUAUCACUCGACAAUAAGCGAGAUCGCUUGCUUAAAUGUAUCUCAGCUCUGUGGCAUCCACGGUUUACGCACUUAUGUAUGUAGCUUUCUUGUUCCUAGAACUAGACUUGGCUAGACUUAGUUAGUUCGGAUGGUUUGGCACGCCGCGCGAUUAGGGACUUAUUUGUUCUCCGUGUCCUAGCCAAUCUACACUAAACAUCGAUUCGAAUCCAACUGAAUCCACACCGAACUGAACUGAACUGUGAACUGAAGAAGCACUGAAAACGAAACUCUCGGCGCAGCGCAACGAAACCGAAGCGAUGAGAUACGAAUGCGAGUUGGGUUUGGAUUGGAAGUGGAAGUGGAAUCGAAAUGGACGGCUGGAGUGGAACGAUUCCGAACGGUUUCGAGAGCGGAAAAUCUGAAUAUUAUACGUAAAUAUCAGAUAUAAUAUGUAUGCCAGUACAUACAUCCUCACAAAACAUAUGUAUGCAGGCACUAUGCUGCCAUAUACGAGAUCUCGAAUAAUAUGCAUAAAUGGCAUGCAGUUAACGUAGAACACUUGAAUAUUAUGCGAGAAUAUAGAGAUAACUAUACAUAUUUACAGAUACAAAUACGAUGUAUGUACAUAUAGUAUUUAUCUACAGAAUGACGCAGCGGAACAUGCACUUGCAUUUUCAUACAGUGUCAGGUAUAAAUAUCGGUUAAAGACCAUGUACAUGCAGUGUACAUACGAGUAUGCAUGAUUUAAUUGUACUCGGACACACGGAAGUAAUCGAGUUGAUCGCUGCGACCGCAAUAUUUCAUCUUAAGUUUUAAGGCUGCGAUAUAUUUAUUCACAUUUUAAUCUUAGGUUAUUUCAUUUAAAAUAAACAAAACAUAUUUCUACUCAUUGGAGUAGUACACCUAGAUCCCUGUCUUCGUUGAUGACUCUGCAAAAACCAGAAUCAUGAACGAUGACUCAUCGAUCAUAUGAUCAAUUUUUAAAUUGGCUUCUUAGAAGUUUAUGAUUCAUCAAUUCGUACAUCUGUGUUACAUCAAGCUUAAAUAAAAUUAUACAUUAACCACCGUU